CUUAAAUUCCAAAACCAGCUGAGCUUUUAUAGAAGUUCUGAGGGUGAAUUUUUUCUCCGUCUUAUUAAGUGUCUGCAACUUCAAAGAGAGCACCGGAGAUUGUCAGAAGAUCUCAUUUCUAGUCUUAGCUGUAGGACUGUGGGCAAGUCACGGAACGUCAAUCUGGAGAAUAGAAGGGUCUUCUGCACUUUCUAUGGGAGAGGAUUUUUUUUUCACAUUUGAGUUUAUUUGGGCUUUGUUAUGCUAUACUUCAAAUAUGUAAUAGACAACCAGCUUCCUCUGAAGUGGAUUCAUAAAGACACAGAUGUAAGUAGAUACCCUGUCUUUAUAAAUCAGGAUCAGAGGCAGAACUCUGCAGUAAGGCAUUUACCUGGGAGCCAUGAGAGUAUAAUGUAUGUAACUAUAAAGUAGUGGGCUGGUGGUGAUGGCCUUAGAAAGUCUCAAGAAUAAAUAUGAAUGUCCCAAACAAUUU
rnacentral:lncRNA from 10 species